CCUCACAGAUGUAUUCAGGCUUCUGUAAUCAACCUCAUCUUAAGUUAUUUGCAGAGCAGCAGAUGUCCUUCAGUAUUCCCAGUAUAUUUGCAUAAUUCAGUCACAGUUAUAGUCACAGAAAUAAUGUGGUAAGUGCAGCAGGAGGACUUAACCUCAGAGGAUGUUCAUAUUUGGAUGAAAUCAGAGAUAGCCAAUCUGAGUUUAAGGGAACAGGCAUUUCCAAAAUAAUGCACAGCCUGGCUCUUAUUGGACAAAAAACAAAGACACACAGAAAGUUUUUCCUGCUGAGACCUGAUUGGUGGAUACUGCUCAGGCUACAGACAGAGACCAGAACCCUUCUCAGACCAAAAUCCAGACCCUGCGAUCCAGAUUAAACAUGUUUCUGAAUCAGAAUCUGUAAUUACAGGCUGAUUGGUGAGGAGGCGACUUCAAAGACAACACACCCCGUCACACAUUAGGGAGACGGUUCCCAUGACGACGUGGCUGAACAGCUCACUCCUGACCUUUCGUAGACAUGGUUGCAAUUACAUUAAAUUACACUGCAUCUUA